GAGACAUAACAUGAAAAACCCACUUUUUUAUCCAUUAACACGGUGUGUUUCACAUUUUAAGUGUCUAAGUGAGCAAAAAGGCUUAUAUUAUUCACUGGAGUUGCUAUUUAGAUAUUUAAUAAUUAAGUUUUGGGCAUAUUUGUCCACCCGUUCAGUUUUUACAUUAUCUAUUACAUCAGUAAUUAAUUUAGUGAGGAUAACUACCAAAUAUGGUAAUGGCCCUCGGCUAAACACAGAGCCAAUCCGCCAUUUUUUCUUCUCGCUAAGAUUUUUUGUAGUCCUAUUGGAAAAAUGCAGAAUGUCUGGUUAUUUUAGCCACACACAGCUCAAAACUGUUCCUCGUUUUAAGGAAGGGUGGUGUGGCAGUAUUUAAACCCAGGAGCUGAUGACACUACUGCUAAAAAAAACACAGAAGAAAAAGUAGUGUGUUUGCGUUUGUUUGUUUGUGUGUGUGUGUGUGUGCGUGCGUGCGCGCGCGCGCGUGGUUCGUUCGUUCUGUCUCCAGGCUAGUGGCUAAGUACUGAGGGCUUCAUCUAUCUAAAAGGAGUUAUUUCCAUCUGAAUUUGGCAGCACCGGGACACAGCAGCAGAGCGAGUCCACAUCCAGAAGACUGGAGUCGUGUUUCACUGACAGGCUGUCAGACUAACGCCCUGAUGAGCUCAGCUGGGACAAACUGGUCUGAUGUUUAGGAACACAGAACGUUCAGAUGUUGGCGUUUCACGUCACCUACUGAGGAAGGAGACCCACCAGUAAAGAGACGGUCUGGACCAGACCAAAAAUAUGGCGAUGACAUCAUGGAACUGGUCUUUGGAAAAGUUUUCCCUGAACCAACUCCGUUUCUAGAUGAGGUAGAGAAGAUCUGCAUCUCACCAACUCUCUGGUCUCAGUAUUCAGACAACGGAGGUCUCCCACUGUUGUCCAGGACCAGUUUGAAGCCCACAUACUGCCCCUCCCUCAUCAUCAGGAAACAUCAAUCCGUAUCCUGAGGACAACAGAAGACGGCAGGAGGACAGGAACUCUGAGACCUAGACACCACCAGCACCGAGACACAAAGCACCUGUGUGCACAACGCCUGUUUUAACUACUAAAGCCUGUUUAUUAUAUUGUUCUACUUAUUUGCUGUGAGGUUAAUACUUAGAAAAUUUGUAUAUUAAUGUAAACAAUAAAAAAAAUCACUGAUUGUA